CCUACGGGAGGCAGCAGUGGGGAAUCUUGCGCAAUGGGCGAAAGCCUGACGCAGCCAUGCCGCGUGAAUGAUGAAGGUCUUAGGAUUGUAAAAUUCUUUCACCGGGGACGAUAAUGACGGUACCCGGAGAAGAAGCCCCGGCUAACUUCGUGCCAGCAGCCGCGGUAAUACGAAGGGGGCUAGCGUUGCUCGGAAUUACUGGGCGUAAAGGGAGCGUAGGCGGAUAGUUUAGUCAGAGGUGAAAGCCCAGGGCUCAACCUUGGAAUUGCCUUUGAUACUGGCUAUCUUGAGUACGGAAGAGGUAUGUGGAACUCCGAGUGUAGAGGUGAAAUUCGUAGAUAUUCGGAAGAACACCAGUGGCGAAGGCGACAUACUGGUCCGUUACUGACGCUGAGGCUCGAAAGCGUGGGGAGCAAACAGGAUUAGAUACCCUGGUAGUCCACGCUGUAAACGAUGAGUGCUAGUUGUCGGCAUGNANGCAUGUCGGUGACGCAGACUACGACAUAAGUACACUCCGCCGUCGGGAGGUACGGUCGGCGAGAAGUAAACGUAACGUUAAAGAAAGUUAGUUACGGCGUGAGACGNGCCGACGGACGACGACGAGGGAGGAGG
rnacentral:rRNA from 1 species